rnacentral:snRNA from 1 species
AUACUUACCUGGCAGGGGAGAUACUAUGAUCACGAAGGUGGUUUUCCCAGGGCGAGGCUUAUCUAUUGCACUCCGGAUGUGCUGACCCCUGCGAUUUCCCCAAAUGUGGGAAACUCGACUGCAUAAUUUGUGGUAGUGGGGGACUGCGUUCGCGCUUUCCCCUG